CCCUUAGAUGUUCUGGGCCGCACACGCGCUACACUGGCAGGUUCAUCGAGCUUCAUGCCCUGAUCUGAGAAGAACGGGAAAUCUUUGAACACCUGCCGUGCUUGGGAUAGAUGUUUGCAAUUAUUCAUCUUCAACGAGGAUUGCCUUGUAAGCGCACGUCAUCAGCGUGCAUUGAAUACGACCCUGUAUUCUGUACACACCGCCCGUCGCUCCUACCGAUUGAAGUUUUCGGUGAAUUUACUGGAGAUCCCUUUUGAAGGUGGUUCGCCACUGGAAGAAGUAUUCAAAAGUAAAUGAAUCGAAUGCUGUAGAGGAAGGAGAAGUCGUAACA
rnacentral:rRNA from 1 species